rnacentral:rRNA from 1 species
GAUGAACGCUGGCGGCGUGCUUAACACAUGCAAGUCGAACGAAGCAUUUAAGACAGAUUACUUCGGUUUGAAGUCUUUUAUGACUGAGUGGCGGACGGGUGAGUAACGCGUGGGUAACCUGCCUCAUACAGGGGGAUAGCAGCUGGAAACGGCUGGUAAUACCGCAUAAGCGCACAGUACCACAUGGUACAGUGUGAAAAACUCCGGUGGUAUGAGAUGGACCCGCGUCUGAUUAGCUUGUUGGCGGGGUAACGGCCCACCAAGGCGACGAUCAGUAGCCGACAUGAGAGGGUGACCGGCCACAUUGGGACUGAGACACGGCCCAGACUCCUACGGGAGGCAGCAGUGGGGAAUAUUGCACAAUGGAGGAAACUCUGAUGCAGCGACGCCGCGUGAGUGAAGAAGUAGUUCGCUAUGUAAAGCUCUAUCAGCAGGGAAGAGAGUGACGGUACCUGACUAAGAAGCUCCGGCUAAAUACGUG